rnacentral:lncRNA from 1 species
GUCUGGUCACAAAAUAGUCCCUCUCUCCAAAACACGUCCUGGGCGACUGCACCUGGGCUGCGUGGAAACGCUAUGAGCUUCCAGGGAACUCUAUGUAACCUCAAUCCUGUGAGGAUGGCCACUGAAGAAAUGGAGGCCCUGGGAAAAUAAACAGCCUCUCCAAGGACCCAGGACCAGCAAGGGGAAGAUUUAAUGAAUUCUUCACCUUCUUUGGGGAUUUUUUUUUUGGUCACAUGCUUAAUAGUUAACAUUUACUGAGUAGUUACAGUACAUGAACCACAGCUUUGCUCAUGGCGGACCCUGCUCUCUAAACACAGUGUCCCCAGGUGACCAGGCUGCUCUGGGUUGCUGGAUUGGUCAACGAUUCACGGUCCCACCCAAGUGAGCCUCCUGUCCCUGGGGUUGUCAAGGCAUUCUCUUGGCUGCUGAUUCCCACCCCCGUGGAGGCCGUUCUGAGCAGCCAGGAGCUGGGAGCCCUGCUACGCUCCCCCAGAUGGCCUGAAGAGUCCUCCUUUGGAACGUACCGGAUAAUGUCCUGGAGAGUCUGGGACUAUAAAUCGGCCGCUGGGCAGCCUCCCUGUUGGCUGGGGAGCCAGAGUAUACUUGCGUGUGGAUUUACCCUCUGGCCUCCAUUUCCUGUUUUCUGAGGAGAAAAAUGAGCAAUGGUGUCUCUUUUCUGGGGAGGAGAUGAAGGAGCAUUUAACCACACCCUGCUCUGCUCUUUCCCCUUGAUCUAGGUGCCCAGUUCUGCUCCAGGCAGAGGUUGCCAAUUAGUGAAAGCAUAUUCGGACGGCAGGUUUCUCGUCUUGUGCUGGCCGCUUACCUUGACACGAGCAACAUGAGGCUGUUGCCUGACUCUUUGUGGCCAUUCCGUUAGACCUAGGACUCAAGCCCAGUAUCUACUAGUCACUACCUGGAAGCCAGCAGCUAUGAUGUAACCACAAGCAUUGUUCAGUGAUGGCUGCCUUAGUUCUGUGGGUGGGACCGCAGUGCCGGCUGGCUGGGGAAUCCCACUGGUGACAACACAGCAUCCUUUUGAGCUGACUCGGCAGCAGAUGCCCCAGACCAACUCCAAGCCUGACAGCAUCUCUGCGAAGCGUGUGAAGGGACAGCAGACGUCAGAGUCCUCCUGUAAAUCACCUUCAUAAAGGCUCCUUGUGGUUGAUUCACCGAUGACUCAUUUAUAAUCUGGUUUCAACAUCGUGAGUCAAAAUGUACCACUUUCAUUAAAAAUAACAUUCACUGGGGUCUAACGGCUUUCUUUUUUCUGUUUUUUACUGUACUGUGUGGUUUCUGGAUGGGAAGCUGUCAGAUAGCAGGUGAGGUGUUUGGAG